rnacentral:rRNA from 1 species
GUGCCAGCCGCCGCGGUAAUACGUAGGGUGCGAGCGUUGUCCGGAAUUACUGGGCGUAAAGAGCUUGUAGGCGGCUUGUCGCGUCGAUCGUGAAAACUCACAGCUCAACUGUGAGCUUGCGGUCGAUACGGGCAGGCUUGAGUACUGCAGGGGAGACUGGAAUUCUUGGUGUAGCGGUGAAAUGCGCAGAUAUCAGGAGGAACACCGGUGGCGAAGGCGGGUCUCUGGGCAGUAACUGACGCUGAGAAGCGAAAGCGUGGGUAGCGAACAGGAUUAGAUACCCGCGUAGUCC